AUCGGCGAUCAGCCGUGGUGCUGAGCGGCUUUGGCAACGCGAGCGAUUGCACUGCUCAAUUCAAUGACGACGACCACGUUCGGCAAGGCGUCGCCGAUCAUCACCCCCGCGCUCGAUACGGCGGAUCGUGCUCAGCGUUGCGCCGGUCCCCAGUAGCCCAACUCGCGACGGAUCUGCAACCC
rnacentral:antisense_RNA from 28 species